CCCCAGAGCUGGUGACAGUUGCCGUCAGCUACUGGAGUGACAGUUAUGACGCAAACUGGGACAUUUUAGAGACGGGACGUAGGCGUGUAAAGCAGGCGUUUGGUCGUGAACGGUUGGAGCCGACUCCAGAUUUCAGUCCGUAGGCGUUUUCGAUCGGAGGUAAGGUGUCGAAAAAACACCAGAAAGCGUUUUGAGGUGCUCGUGCUUAGCGUUCAAGAUGAGUCGUUUUGCAUUGAUGCUGCUGCUGAUCGGCCUCGUGCUCUUGACGGUGGCAGUUCCUCUGGUUGCCAGCCAUCCACAACCAGGUCCUGGCUGGCCACCAGUGCUGCGGUGCGAGUGUCACCGAUGCUGCUCGGGCUGUGCUUUCCGGUGUCUUCGCUGCUGUGUAAAGGAGUGAAAGAGUGGGGCUAUGCAACACUUCAGCUGAAGCUAUCGCAGCGAGAACAAGGUUUAAGGCUGGAACACAGCUUUCAAGCGGGCAAAUCGCUUCACGCUUCUCCCAUCAGAAUGCAUGACAUAUUUUGUGCUCCCAACUCGCAGCUCCAAGUACUGCGUAUUUGGAGCGAAAAAUAGGUGUGCCAUGUAUUCUAAGGGGUGAAUUGAUAAUGCAACUUGCACACGUAAGAGCUGUGUUUCAGCCUUCAGUCUCUGUGUCGGUACCUGAACAAGUUUUUUUUUCGGCAAACGUUUAGAAGAUAGGUAUGUGAUACGGCUUCUCUUUACCUUUUGACUGAACUUUCCGUCGUAUCAUCCGUGAGCACCAUUUGAAAUGUGUUAUUGAUUCCCUGAAAUGUAUUGGUAAUUGGGUGUUUCAUCCGUAGGUUUCAGUGGCUUGGGAAUUUUUCGGCAUUUUUUAACUGCGCUUAAUAAACGAUUUGUUAUUGUU